CAGAGGAGACCUUCUGGACUGAGGACAUAGAGGAGACCUUCUGGACUGAGGACAUAGAGGAGACCUUCUGGACUGAGGACAUAGAGGAGACCUUCUGGACUGAGGACAUAGAGGAGACCUUCUGGACGGAGAACAGAGGAGACCUUCUGGACGGAGGACAGAGGAGACCUUCUGGACUGAGGACAUAGAGGAGACCUUCUGGAAUGAGGACAUAGAGGAGACCUUCUGGAAUGAGGAGCUGUAGGCUCAUGGAUCCGCCCAGAGGCUGCAGAGUGAUCGUCCUCAGUUUAUAUGUGAUCCAUACUUUACAGGAAGAGACAGAGAGGAAAGUGAGGGAGGGGGAGACAGAGAGAGGAGGAGGGGAGAGGAGUAGGUGGAGAGGAGGGGAGGAGGAGGAGGAAGAGGAGGAGGGGAUGAUGAAGAGGAGAGGAUAAGGAGACGAGGAGUAGGGGAACAGAAGGAGAGGGGAGAGGAGGGUAAGAGGAGGUGAUGGCCUCUUGAGUAUAUCAUCAGAGAUGAGUAGUGGCUGGCAGAGCGGAGUGAAACCAAAGUGUCUCAAACACACUUGACCGCUGCUUGAGGACCGCUGUCGACUGAAGAGCGUUGAGUCGUCUGGGGCUGAGCCAGUACAGGAGCGCCUCAGGGCAGGAGAGGCCCAGUACAGGAGCGCCUCAGGGCAGGAGAGGCCCAGUACAGGAGCGCCUCAGGGCAGGAGAGGCCCAGGACAGGAGCGCCUCAGGGCAGGAGAGGCCAGGACAGGUGAGCUCAUCUCCUCAGGGCAGGAGAGGCCCAGUACAGAUGAGCUCAUCUCCUCCCAGUACAGGUGAGCUCAUCUCCUCCCAGUACAGGUGAGCUCAUCUCCUCCCAGUACAGGUGAGCUGGUCUCCUCCCAGUACAGGUGAGCUCAUCUCCUCCCAGUACAGGUGAGCUGGUCUCCUCCCAGUACAGGUGAGCUCAUCUCCUCAGGGCAGGAGAGGCCCAGUACAGGUGAGCUCAUCUCCUCCCAGUACAGGUGAGCUGAGCUCCUCCCAGAACAGAUGAGCUGGUCUCCUCCCAGUACAGGUGAGCUGGUCUCCUCCCAGUACAGGUGAGCUGGUCUCCUCCCAGUACAGGUGAGCUCAUCUCCUCCAAGUAAAGGUUAGCUGAUCUCCUCCCAGUACAGGUGAGCUGGUC
ensembl:lncRNA